rnacentral:lncRNA from 1 species
CAGGCAUAGUCGGUGUCCCAUUUGGAGUCGGUGCGGCUUCUUCCUCGGUAUCUCCCUCUUCCGAUCUAGGAGGAACGAUGUUGCUCAAGUCCAGAUUCGAGUAUAUUUUUUCGAUUGCAUCUUGGUCAUCUUUAUACCCGAUACAGUACGAAGUGAAGCCAUUUUCGAGGAUCUCCUCCUUGUAUUCUCUUGAACCUCAGAAAUCCUCGAUCGCCCG